AGAGUUUGAUUCUGGCUCAGGAUGAACGCUAGCGAUAGGCCUAACACAUGCAAGUCGAGGGGCAUCACAUGAAGUAGCAAUACGGAUGGUGGCGACCGGCGCACGGGUGAGUAACGCGUAUGCAACCUGCCUACAACAGGGGGAUAACCCGUUGAAAGACGGACUAAUACCCCAUAACACAGGGGUCCCGCAUGGGAAUAUUUGUUAAAGAUUUAUCGGUUGUAGAUGGGCAUGCGUUCCAUUAGCUAGUUGGUGAGGUAAGGGCUCACCAAGGCAACGAUGGAUAGGGGAACUGAGAGGUUUAUCCCCCACACUGGUACUGAGACACGGACCAGACUCCUACGGGAGGCAGCAGUGAGGAAUAUUGGUCAAUGGGCGCAAGCCUGAACCAGCCACGUCGCGUGAAGGAAGACGGCCCUACGGGUUGUAAACUUCUUUUGUAAGGGAAUAAAGUGCAGUACGCGUACUGUUUUGCAUGUACCUUACGAAUAAGGAUCGGCUAACUCCGUGCCAGCAGCCGCGGUAAUACGGAGGAUCCGAGCGUUAUCCGGAUUUAUUGGGUUUAAAGGGUGCGCAGGCGGGAGAUUAAGUCGGCGGUGAAAUUUUGCAGCUCAACUGUAAAAGUGCCUUCGAAACUGGUUUUCUUGAGUGUAGAUGAAGUAGGCGGAAUUUGUGGUGUAGCGGUGAAAUGCAUAGAUAUCACGAGGAACUCCGAUUGCGCAGGCAGCUUACUAAGCUACAACUGACGCUCACGCACGAAGGCGUGGGGAUCAAACAGGAUUAGAUACCCUGGUAGUC
rnacentral:rRNA from 1 species